AUUUUGGAAGCUCCAAUGGUUUGCUGUUGGAUGGAUUGAUCCUAACAACAAAUAUUGCACCAGAAUUGAUGCUUCUGGGAAUGCGAAUCCUGUAUGGAAAACCAAGUUUUCUAUAUCAGUUGAUGAUUCAAACUUGCAAGAUAUUAUGCUUCAUGUUGAAGUGUACAGCAGGGAACCCUUUUUCCUAAGGGAAAAGCUCCUAGGGACUGCCACUGUGGCCUUGAAAGAAUUUAUGACAAAGCACAGCAAAAUUUCUGAGGAGUCUGCAAUGUCAGGAACAGAGGAAGCAGGGAGCUACCAGUUGCGCAAAGGAAAUUCUAGUAAACCUCAAGGGUUUGUUGAUAUUUCAGUUCGUAUCUUGAAAGAAAGGGAAGAACCAAGUUCAUUCUCAGGUAUUCUGAGAUUGAUGUUAGAUUCAUCUUUGUCAGUAAUUACAAUUAAACUGAGCUGUUGACAGGAUUUAAAUCUGGGGAGACUGUUUUUCGUCUCUCCAUUUCCUACAUUAUUUAUGAUAGCAGCUAGAAUUGGGGCAAUUCUAUGCUGCCUCUUCCGAUUAUUUUUCUAUUUGGAGAUACUGGUUUUUACUUAGAUUUGACUAUAUUUUGUUAUACUUUGGCUAUAAUUUGUGACCAUCCAUUUUUACUACAUACUUUUAAAGUUUGUAUAUAAUCUUUAAAUGAGUGCUUACUGGAUAUGACUUUUUGUUUGCAGGUGAGGGAGGACUCCUGCUGAUGGAUCAUAGCAAUAAUAUUGCAGUGUGGCCGGUAGGUGGAUCAGGGGAAGCCUACUUUUCUGGUCCGGCACCACUACCUUCAACCUCAGCCCACCCACCACAUAGUCCGUCACAGAACAAUUUUCGAUAUAAUCAUCCAGUGGCAUGUCCUCCAAACCAUUCAAACCUGUUGCAGGGAGGACCAAGCUAUUCAGCUGGUGGAAAUUAUUAUCAACCCCCACGAACUCCUCCUCCACCACCUCCACCUUCUAAUGUUGGAUACAUACCUAUGUUUCUUCCAAGAACUGAGAAUUAUGUUAACAUGCCAUCAUCUGGAACAGCACCUGGACGAGGGCCAGGGCCUGGAUUUGGCAUGGGAGUUGGAGCUGGAGCACUAGCAGCUGGUGCCAUAAUCUUUGGUGAUGACUUCUUGUCUGGAUUUGAUUUUCCUGGAGGCUCACAAGAUGCUAGUCUUACAAUAUCAACUGAUCCUCCUUUUUGAUAAAGAAGUGAUUGUAUCCUGUAAUAACAUCACCUGUUCAAUAAGAUGCUUCUUUUUAAAGUUUUAGUUGUCCUAGUAUCAACUCUUAGCUAUUGGAAAAUUAAUGUUGUUUAUGUUAAGCAGUCAUCAUCUUCAUUACCUAACAAAUUGAAAGUUACGGCAGUUAUACUUUCACUCCAUAGUUUUGAAAAAUACGAUUCAUCAUAGAAGUUAUUCUAAUGGAAUUUGGAGAAAAAGCUUUGGACUGCCAAAACAUUUUGAUGAAAGACUUAUCCACUCCUAGCUAAAAUGAACAUGAAUUUUGAAAUAAAUUUCACAAAAUGUCAUUUGUUCCAAACAUAGCCUAUUUUCAAGUUGACUAAUAAAGGUAGUUGGCUGUGAAUGUACAACUAUCAGACAACUGAAUGUACUAAUUUCAAUAAGACUAGGCAUAACCAUUCAUUCCCUGUGUAUCAAGAGAUGGCAAUAGGAAUAGGCACAACCAUUCAAUCCCUGUGUAUAAAGAGAUGGGGUGGAGAGGGGGAUUCUUUCUGUGGGCUGGUAAGGAUAUGUGAAUUCACCUUCUUUACAACUUCCACAAGCAAAAUUUGUACGGACAAGAGCUUAAGGAGCAGAUCUUCCUUCUCUGCCUAAAAGUUCCUGAAAACAUUUGAUACACCAGAAGAUUAACUUAUUAUUAACAAACAAUAAAAAUCUCCAUAAUAUCCUCCCUCUCUCUCUCUCUCAAUCUCACAAUACCAGCUUGGUUGCAGCAAUUGAUAAUCGCUGCCUUUCUCUCUUUUCACGUUGGCACUCCCCGCACCAGCUUGAGCAAUCAUCUUUCAGAUAUUUCUUCAGCUCCCGAAAAAUCGAACUGAGAGAAGAUUGUAUAUGGAGUUUGAGUAAAAUUAAAAUAGUAUACAAAUAUCCAUUAUGUCCAAAAACUACACAGGUAGCAGAAACGUAGAUACUUUUGCAUUUGUCUCCAGAUUCUAAAUAUCUCAAACUUUUAAGAAUAUAUUUCAGCUGAGGUUCAGCAUCACUAUUGACUAAGGUCAAUUCCAAAUGCACAAGUAAAUUCUAUUUCCCAUGUUAUUUUAAAAAAAAAAAUUCUAUUUGCCAUGGAAAAAAGUGCCAGUUACCUGCCUAAUAAAAUGAAAGCUCUCAGCCUUCCAUAACAAAUUAAAAGACAGAAAAAACAUGAAUGGCUUUCUCCAACAAAGCUCCUUAAUAGCUCCAGAAGAUAUAGACUACAUUUCUGCUAAUCACUGUUAUAUGCUAAAACUUUAGUAUGUUAAUCAAGCACUAUAUGCCAAUACUGGCAAAUAAAUCAUAAAAAAGCUAUAGAUACUCUUUCAAAAUGAUGCUUCAGAAUGAUUACACUAAGAAAAAAAAUAUUACUUGAUUGGAAGAACAAAUCUAAUAACAGAUACAGAGAACUAAAUAUUCUUUUCAAGAAGUUCAGAAUUGACUAGGAUUGCAUUGCACAAUCUCCAUCACCCCGGAUAUUAAAUUUCAAGUCACAAAUUAUUUCCAUUAUUGUGCUACUUCAAACUUCACUGGGGCAGUGAAUGUUGCUUUAAAUCUUCAUUUUAUCUUGUAAUUAUCAAAGGGAUGGAUGCUGGACUUUCUAAAUUACAAUAUGUUUGAGCCCCUAUGAAAAAAGAUGACAACAAGACAUGCAAGUGCACCUUAAAUGCUUAUUUAAAAGAAUCAAGACGGUAGAUGGCAUUAUUUUUGUUUUCUCCACCCAUGAGGCAGCUUGUGCAGAUAUCAGACUUUCAAGGGAGCUUAUACAGGAUCUGCAGGCUACAGAUUCUAUAAUUUUAAUAACAAAUAGAUGAAAAAGAUACCUCCUGCACCACAAAAUUAAGUUGACGCGAUGCCCGAAUGUUGUGGCUCUAGCACCAUGUCGGUGUCGCCCACGGUGAAGAACUGCACAUCCCGGGACAUGAGAAUAAUCUAAAAUUUCCUAGUAACACACAGUAAAAAGAAUCAAUCACAAAACCACUUUGUUAAUUAAAAUUAGAAAAAAGAAGAGGUUCCAUACGCAAGAAGGUACUAUUAAAAGACAAUGAAAUAGUCAACGCUAAGGUUUUCUUUACUUGCUUUCAUUUUGAAUAGAAAGUAAUCAAAGAAGAGAAGCAAUGUGAAAUUUAUGGGAAUGUUAACAAUUUUUACAAUUAUUUUCAAUGCAAAGGAAGAAAAAAAUCAUAGUUGACCGAAAGAGAUUGCAAAGCCAAGCCUGUCUAGUUGCUCCUUAAUCAUGUUGACUUUAGAGAGACCAAAUCACACUUAUUAAGUCAAAUGUGAAGAUUGCAUGAAGCUAGUGAAAUUCAAGUGAUCCUUAGCCUUUGCUAGCAUUGCUUGUCGAACAGGUAUUUAUAUUGAUAUGAAAGCUAAAUUACUGGGCCCAAACAAAAAAAGAAGUAAAAAAUCACAAAUAUUAGCAUACCUCAGGUUUAGUUUCUGUAUUCACAUGCCUAUCACACCGAAUGCCACGAAAGAACAGUUGCCCACCAGAAAAUUGUCUUCCCAAGCAGACGUUCAAGGUGACUUCUGAGUCAUCCACAUGAAAUCCUACAGAUAGAAAGCUGCUAAGAUUUCAUAAAAACUUAUGAAGUCCUACUUUAGUGCCCAUAAUUGAAGAAAAAAUAACAAAACCUGUGAGACAAAGAAAAAUUGUAGAACAUUAUUAAAAAAUAGUAUAUAAGUACUUACCAAAUAAAUGUUUUCACAAGUUUCUUUUUCUUUUCAAAAUAUGAGAUGUUUUCAGAAAUAGUAUUAUACAGACAAAAAAUGCAUUACUAAUUAAAAAAUAGUAUAUAAGUACUUACCAAAUAAAUGUUUUCACAAGUUUCUUUUUCUUUUCAAAAUAUGAGAUGUUUUCAGAAAUAGUAUUAUACAGACAAAAAAUGCAUUACUAAUUAAGUGGCACCAAAACAAAAAUAUAACAGCACAAAAAUCUCACCAAGACCAGAAAGGAAAUUGUGCAGAGCAAAAACUCAACUUCACUAUUCGUAGUUAAUUAAGCGUUUGUUUAUUUAAGAAUGAACAAUUCAACAACAUAAAAAAUUUAUAAAAAACGUGUUUUAUGGAUAAACAAAAUCCUAUAAAGUAUUUCUAAUUGACAUAAUGAAUUUUCUUUCUUGCAGAUAUUUCAUUAUGAAUAGUUAAGCAUACUGCUUCUUCCUUUUCAUCUCAUUUUGAAAUGAAAAGCAGAUGAAAAGAAUUGAAGCGUUUAACUCUAUCAGAAUAACAUGGCAAAGAAUCAAUAUCUCUAUGUUAAACUUAAUGGAAAAAGGAGAGCAAGGUUGAAACGAGCACCUACCAAGCUCAACAUCUCUAUCAAUUCCAUAUUCAACAAUGAAACCAUGAUGAUAAUCCAAUGUGGAUCCACCAACUUCAGGAAAGAAAACUGCAAAGAAUCAAACCAAAAAAGAAUGAGCCUAAUCCAUAACCUCAAUUGUCUAUUAUUAUGUCUAUUUUCUUUUUUCUUAUAAACAUUAAGGGAAAAGAUAAUACCCUUGGAUAUAGGUUUUAUAUAGACAUCCAUCAAUUGGCCAAGCAUGGUUUCAAAGCCAAAAUCAUCUAGAACGACACCAUAUUCAUUCAUUGUAUUUGGGCGCAUGAUUCCACAAUUUACUGCAUGGACCCACCUUUCAAAAUUCUCUACCUAACCAAUUAUAGUUAGAUAAGAAAAGAUGACUUGUAUUUGAAAAAAUAAAUUGAGGAAAAGAGACUACACCUCAGACAACAAUAAUCUGCAAAAUUUUGGUUGAAGCAUUUCAAAUGUGAAAAUUCCUGGAGUUUGUUCAGCCAUUAUACUCCUAAAACUCUCCUCCGUAUUCUCUUUAAUGGCUCUGAGAAACGAAGGGACAAAGAAGCUUUCUGCAUUCAUUGUGUACAGCUCCCGAUGCUUACUCUGCAGAGAAAGAAAAAAUGAAGGAAAACAUGCAUGCCAGUGCAGAUGCAGAAUCCUAAAAUGCGGUCAGCAGAAAGGAGAACUUUGUGCAUUCCACGGGAAUCAAUAUCUCCUCUGACCUUUUACUUAUCUGUUCCCAUAUCUGUAAAAUCUGAGCACCAAUGCAGCACACAUUUUUUUUUUUUUUUUUAAAGAAAGGAGGAGUUAUUCAGAAAAGUGCAUGAAGGUGCCAGCAAAGAAUGCAAGGGUUUCCUUUAUGUAUUUACCUUCAAAUGCCAUUUUAUAUCUAGCCAUAUAUAUGUCAAUAAUCUAUCAGAUAUUAGCGAUUUAUAAUCCAUUUUACAUCUAGAUAUAUAUAUGUCAAUAACCUAUAAAAACCAACCAACAAAAAUCCAUCUCAUGAAUACCUUGUAAUUCGAUAUAAUCUUCUGCCUGUAUCCUUUAAGUUCUUGAAUCUGUUCAAAAGCAAAGACCAUAAGCGAUAGUUUGACCAGAUUGAAGGAAAAACAAACAUGCAAGCACACAAAAGGAAAAAGGGAACAGUAUCCGCAAACGAGCAAAAGAAGAUGCAUCAGAAUAGAGACUAUAAGAAAGAUCAGCCAUUAGGCCACGUGCAUCAUGAUUACCAUCCAGCCAUACGCUCCAUGGGUUACUAUCUUCCUGAGUUUGGAUGAGAGAACGUGGAAAGCAAACAAAUCCCUUGUCAGUCACGCCACAUAAUGACAACAGAGACGCAAAGGUAAAUUAACUGCACAAUCACCAGUUUUCAUGCUCGGUAAUUCAAGAAUAAUUUAUUGACCAUUUAGUUAAAUGUUACUAUCACUUUUGUCUUCUGCCUAGCCACUGCAGGGUUCAAACGUCAAUUGACUGCAAAAGCAGUCUGGCAUAUCCAACCCUAAAAACAAAUACAACUUUGGUAGAAGGCUCAGCCAAUGAGAAGUGACAAAAUCAACUCCAGAAAGCAAGGCUAUAUAGCCUAUUCAACUCAUCGCUCAGCUUAGUAUUUGUAUUUUCCGUUUUUUGUAAGAAUGGCCAAGUUAGGAAAAAGAUAAUAGUAGUUUAUACAAUAUUAAAUGAGGAUCCCUGCGCAAAUGUCCCUGGCAGAGAAACCUGUUUGAAAGAAGCCCAAUCAGACUGUAAAAAUCUCACCAAAACUAAAUAUGAUGAAGAAUGCAGGAAUACCACAGACUAGACCCCGCAACACAAAGCAAUUUGGGAAAAUGAAAAACGCACGUAGAAGCAGUACAAAUGUAUUGCUUCCUUAUUUUCAUAUACCAAACGUACAUAUUUGCUCUCUUUCCAAACAGAUUCUUGUUCAAAUCUCAAACAGGAUACGCCAGUAAUUUUGCAUAUCACGCUGACACGAAGAACCACAUAAAGGCAGGAACACGCAUAUACACAUUGAAUUUACUUGUACAGACACGGAUAUGCACAUGUAUACAUUAAUACACAGACAUGCAAUUCAUUGCAAUUUAUACUUACACGAAUACGCUCACUCUCAGGCAAGUAUCGGUUGAGAAUGUCCUUCAUGUACUGAGCCUUAGCAUCCCGUGACAUAGAGAGCAUGGAGUAUGGCAAGUACCUCUCAAGGGAGCUGAAGAGGAGGGGACUGAAAUCCAAUUGGAGGUCAUCGUAGCUAUCGGGGUGGUGGUCCGUAUUAGGCUUCAGUCUCAGCCUGCUCAUAGUCAAAGAACCGAUUCCGUUUUCAUCCCCCUUUCUCACGAUCGCCUGCUGAGGUUGCAGUUCCUUUCUUCCCUCCAUGGAAGCGUCCAUUGACAUCAUUUUCCUUCUACAGAGAUCAAGAGGUACCGAUCAGAUUCCUAGAGAGAUUGUUUCAAGCGCAAGAAACUGAAUGCACCAUUUUUCCCUUCUUCCCGAGCAAUGAGAGCCGUUAGUGGGUGUGAAUGUAAUUUUGGGGAUUAUGAGGACGAGGGAAGAAGAAGCGGUAGUUUGUACUGCAGGUUAGGGUCACGGCGUAUUUUAAACGCAACGAAAUUUGAAUCAGACCGGUUAAUUUCAUGUCGGUUUUUAACUAAAAUCGAACCAAUUUAAUUCGCAUUGAGUCAGAUUUUUUUUUUUUAAUUAUCGGAUCACUUUACACUCAAGUUCGAACUUAAAUUCGAUUCGGUAUAAUACACAUAAUUUAUAUAAAUUUUAAUACAAAAUAUUUUGUUUAUUAAAAUUUAUCUCAGUAUUUUAUACAUUAAUAAACUAAUUAUUUAAUGUGUAUAUAAAAUAUUUUAGUUUAUAUAUUUAAAACAUAACAAGCGAAUUUCCAUUAAAAGCCUAAGUGGAGCAAAUGUAUAAUUUAUAUAAUUUAUAACAUUGACUUUAACAAAAAUUCAAAGGUUCAUUAAAUAUUUCCAUCAAUUUUUUAUAAUGGUGUACAUUUAAAUAGUUUGGUUUAAAGUUAUUCAAAUUAUAAUUUAAAAUAAAGAUUUUAAUUUCAAAUUUUAUUUAAAGCAACCUCUACAUAGAUUAUAAAAAAAAUGAAAAAAAAAUAAAAUAAUACACCAUUAUUAUUGAACUGAGCUGUUGACAGGAUUUAAAUUUGGGGUAACUUUGUUUUUUUGUCUCCCCCCAUUUCCUAAAUUAUUUACGACAGCAGCUUAGAAUUUGCCUCUUCCGAUUAUUUUUCUAUUUGGAGAUACUGCUUAGAUUUGACUAUAUUUUGUUAUACUUUUGGGUAUAAUUUGUUACCAUUCAUUUUUACUUCAUACUUUUAAAGUUUGUGUAUAAUCUUUAAAUGAGUGCUUACUGGGAUAUGACUUUUCGUUGCGGGGGAGGGAGGACUCCUGCUGAUGGACAAUAGCUAUAAUAUUGCAGUGCGUCCGGAAGGUGGAUCAGGGGAAGCAUACUCAUCUGGUCCGGCACGACUACCUUCACCCUCAGCCUGCCCACCCCCAUAAUCUGUAACAGAACAAUUUUCGAUGUAAUCAUCCAGUGGCAUGUCCUUCGAACCAUUCAAACCUGUUGCAGGGAGGACCAAGCUAUUCAGCUGGUGCAAAAUUGCUAUCAACCUCCGCGAACUCCCCCACCACCACCCCUAAGUUUCUCCCAAGAACCGAGAAUUAUGUUGAUAUGCCAUCUGGAACAGCGCCUGGACGAGGGCCGGGCCUUGGAUUUGGCAUGGGAGUUGGAGCUGGAGCACUAGCAGCUGGUGCUGUGAUACCUGGUGAUGAGUUUUUGUCUGGAUUUGAUUUUCCGGGAGGCUCACAAGAUGCUAGUCUUACAAUUAAACAACUGAUCCUCCUUUUUUAUAAAGCAGUGAUGGUAUCUUGUAAUAACAUCAUCUUGUAAUAGUAUCAACUCUCAGCUAUUGGAAAAUUAUGAUUUUCAUAUCAAGGAGUCAUCAUGUUCAUUACCUAACAAACUAAAAGUUAAUGCGGUUAUAAUUUCACUCCAUAGUUUUUGAGGUUUUGGAGACUAUCAG
rnacentral:lncRNA from 1 species